rnacentral:rRNA from 1 species
UCCAGGCCCUACGGGGUGCAGCAGGCGCGAAACCUCCGCAAUGUGAGAAAUCGCGACGGGGGGAUCCCAAGUGCCAUUCUUAACGGGAUGGCUUUUCAUUAGUGUAAAGAGCUUUUGGAAUAAGAGCUGGGCAAGACCGGUGCCAGCCGCCGCGGUAACACCGGCAGCUCUAGUGGUAGCAGUUUUUAUUGGGCCUAAAGCGUCCGUAGCCGGUUUAAUAAGUCUCUGGUGAAAUCCUGCAGCUUAACUGUGGGAAUUGCUGGAGAUACUAUUAGACUUGAGAUCGGGAGAGGUUAGAGGUACUCCCAGGGUAGAGGUGAAAUUCUGUAAUCCUGGGAGGACCGCCUGUUGCGAAGGCGUCUGACUGGAACGAUUCUGACGGUGAGGGACGAAAGCUAGGGGCGCGAACCGGAUUAGAUACCCGGGUAGUCCUAGCUGUAAACGAUGCGGACUUGGUGUUGGGGUGGCUUUGAGCUGUCCCAGUGCCGAAGGGAAGCUGUUAAGUCCGCCGCCUGGGAAGUACGGUCGCAAGACUGAAACUCAAAGGAAUUGGCGGGGGAGCACCACAACGCGUGGAGCCUGCGGUUUAAUUGGAGUCAACGCCGG